UAACAAAUGUGCUACUCUAAUGAGGGAAU
rnacentral:piRNA from 1 species